CUGUAAGCCUGUGAAGGUGGCCUGUGAGGGUUGCUGGAGGUAUCAGAAGUGCGAAUGCUGACAUAAGUAACGAUAAAGCGGGUGAAAAGCCCGCUCGCCGGAAGACCAAGGGUUCCUGUCCAACGUUAAUCGGGGCAGGGUGAGUCGACCCCUAAGGCGAGGCCGAAAGGCGUAGUCGAUGGGAAACAGGUUAAUAUUCCUGUACUUGGUGUUACUGCGAAGGGGGGACGGAGAAGGCUAUGUUGGCCGGGCGACGGUUGUCCCGGUUUAAGCGUGUAGGCUGGUUUUCCAGGCAAAUCCGGAAAACCAAGGCUGAGGCGUGAUGACGAGGCACUACGGUGCUGAAGCGACAAAUGCCCUGCUUCCAGGAAAAGCCUCUAAGCAUCAGGUAACAUCAAAUCGUACCCCAAACCGACACAGGUGGUCAGGUAGAGAAUACCAAGGCGCUUGAGAGAACUCGGGUGAAGGAACUAGGCAAAAUGGUGCCGUAACUUCGGGAGAAGGCACGCUGAUAUGUAGGUGAAGCGACUUGCUCGUGGAGCUGAAAUCAGUCGAAGAUACCAGCUGGCUGCAACUGUUUAUUAAAAACACAGCACUGUGCAAACACGAAAGUGGACGUAUACGGUGUGACGCCUGCCCGGUGCCGGAAGGUUAAUUGAUGGGGUUAGCGGUAACGCGAAGCUCUUGAUCGAAGCCCCGGUAAACGGCGGCCGUAACUAUAACGGUCCUAAGGUAGCGAAAUUCCUUGUCGGGUAAGUUCCGACCUGCACGAAUGGCGUAAUGAUGGCCAGGCUGUCUCCACCCGAGACUCAGUGAAAUUGAACUCGCUGUGAAGAUGCAGUGUACCCGCGGCAAGACGGAAAGACCCCGUGAACCUUUACUAUAGCUUGACACUGAACAUUGAGCCUUGAUGUGUAGGAUAGGUGGGAGGCUUUGAAGUGUGGACGCCAGUCUGCAUGGAGCCGACCUUGAAAUACCACCCUUUAAUGUUUGAUGUUCUAACGUUGGCCCCUAAUCGGGGUUGCGGACAGUGUCUGGUGGGUAGUUUGACUGGGGCGGUCUCCUCCUAAAGAGUAACGGAGGAGCACGAAGGUUGGCUAAUCCUGGUCGGACAUCAGGAGGUUAGUGCAAUGGCAUAAGCCAGCUUGACUGCGAGCGUGACGGCGCGAGCAGGUGCGAAAGCAGGUCAUAGUGAUCCGGUGGUUCUGAAUGGAAGGGCCAUCGCUCAACGGAUAAAAGGUACUCCGGGGAUAACAGGCUGAUACCGCCCAAGAGUUCAUAUCGACGGCGGUGUUUGGCACCUCGAUGUCGGCUCAUCACAUCCUGGGGCUGAAGUAGGUCCCAAGGGUAUGGCUGUUCGCCAUUUAAAGUGGUACGCGAGCUGGGUUUAGAACGUCGUGAGACAGUUCGGUCCCUAUCUGCCGUGGGCGCUGGAGAACUGAGGGGGGCUGCUCCUAGUACGAGAGGACCGGAGUGGACGCAUCACUGGUGUUCGGGUUGUCAUGCCAAUGGCACUGCCCGGUAGCUAAAUGCGGAAGAGAUAAGUGCUGAAAGCAUCUAAGCACGAAACUUGCCCCGAGAUGAGUUCUCCCUGAGACUUAGAGUCUCCUGAAGGAACGUUGAAGACGACGACGUUGAUAGGCCGGGUGUGUAAGCGCAGCGAUGCGUUGAGCUAACCGGUACUAAUGAACCGUGAGGCUUAACCUU
rnacentral:rRNA from 1 species